GUCAUUUCAAAACCGAAAACGAGUACCAGAUGUGGUGAAUUAAUUCAAAGCCUGCCUGAAGCACUUGCCUGGCAAGCACAAGGUCCUGAGUUGAAUCCCUGGUACUGC